UACAGAGGUCUCAAGCGUUGUUCGGAUUCAUUGGGCGUAAAGGGUGCGUAGGUGGCGCCGUAAGUGGGGUGUGAAAUUUCGGAGCUUAACUCCGGAACUGCAUUCCAUACUGCGGUGCUUGAGGACUGGAGAGGAGACUGGAAUUUACGGUGUAGCAGUGAAAUGCGUAGAGAUCGUAAGGAAGACCAGUGGCGAAGGCGGGUUUCUGGACAGUUCCUGACACUGAGGCACGAAGGCCAGGGGAGCAAACGGG
rnacentral:rRNA from 1 species